ensembl:lncRNA LINC00861 long intergenic non-protein coding RNA 861
CAUGGCACUGGCAGGAGCGUCUUUAAUUAUGAACAGUGUGGGCACCAGAAGUCACUUUUGUCACCAUCUGCUGGUUUUGGCAGGUUUCUUUACAGCAUCCUGUUUUUGAUCAGCAAGGUCAUUACCAGUGCUCAGAAAACAAGUUCUACUGAUCUCUCCACUUCAAAACUAGAAAAGAAGCAUGAAAAAGACUUCCUCACAGCCUGCAGAAGGAAUCAACCCUGUCAAUAUCUUUAUUUCAGACUUCUUGCCUCUUAAACUGUAUCCCACUUCUAAGAUGCCUGAUCUGAAGGACAGUAAAACAACUGACCUUUGCCAGCAUGUAAAACACAUGGUUUAACUAGUCCUCCAGGAACAACACUGAGCAAUCCUGACCUGGGACUACUUUACUCGGCCAUCUCCUACUUGAGAUGCUCCUUGUCUCUCUGUUCAAGGACACCUUUUCUGAGCCUUUCUUGAACAAGAGUGGAGGACCGAUAGGGCGAUUAAACUGUCCUUGACACAACUUUAGAGCUUCAACUGAGAAUCUAGAAGAGAGUAGAUGGAAAAAUAUUUUUCCCUCCCCUCCAAAUGCAAGGAUAAUCUUACACGAGUCCAGGAGGAAGGCUCAUUCCACACUAAGUGUUCUGAAUCAAAAAGAUGAACAAAAUACAGUGCCAUUCUUCAAGGACUUCACAGUCUACAGGAAAGGGAUAUAGUUAAACAAAUAACUGCAGAAUUGGAAAUUGGAGCUGAUGUGCUUAGAAGUGUUUUGAACAAGGGGCAUGACUGUGACUCUCUCUGCUUUUGCAAGCUUCAGGAAAACCUUUACUCACAGUUGAAAAUACAGAGCCUCAGGGUGAAGCCCUAACUUCCCACAGCAGAUGGGGUCUAUGAGGAGGAAGAAGUAGACGCAUGGACCAGUCCUGUUAUGAAGACAAGUUUCAUGGUGCUACUCUGUCUCCAUGAGCUCCUAUGGCCCAGAAGCUGGCAUCCUGUGAGUGGUACUACUAGAAGGAAGUGUGGUGUUCCUGCAAUGAAUGAGCACAAGAGUUAAAGAAACUAUUGUGGUGCAGAAAACCACCACUCCACAUAUCCUUGGACACUGAAGCAACCCAUCUGCAAUCAUUGGACUAGGUAUUAGCACAAUCAAAAUAGACAUUUCCUUCCUGAAUAAACCUGAUUAAUGGC